UACGAAGGGGGCGAGCGUUGUUCGGAAUUACUGGGCGUAAAGGGCGCGUAGGCGGCGACUCAAGUUAGAUGUGAAAGUCCUGGGCUUAACCUGGGGACUGCAUUUGAUACUGGCAGGCUUGAAUUCGGGAGAGGGAUGUGGAAUUCCAGGUGUAGCGGUGAAAUGCGUAGAGAUGUGGAGGAACACCGAUGGCGAAGGCAGCCCCCUGGGCUGAGAUUGACGCUCAGGCACGAAAGCGUGGGGAUCAAACAGG
rnacentral:rRNA from 1 species